rnacentral:rRNA from 1 species
GAUGAACGCUGGCGGCGUGCCUAAUACAUGCAAGUCGAGCGAACAGACGAGGAGCUUGCUCCUCUGACGUUAGCGGCGGACGGGUGAGUAACACGUGGAUAACCUACCUAUAAGACUGGGAUAACUUCGGGAAACCGGAGCUAAUACCGGAUAAUAUAUUGAACCGCAUGGUUCAAUAGUGAAAGACGGUUCUGCUGUCACUUAUAGAUGGAUCCGCGCCGCAUUAGCUAGUUGGUAAGGUAACGGCUUACCAAGGCGACGAUGCGUAGCCGACCUGGGAGGGUGAUCGGCCACACUGGAACUGAGACACGGUCCAGACUCCUACGGGAGGCAGCAGUAGGGAAUCUUCCGCAAUGGGCGAAAGCCUGACGGAGCAACGCCGCGUGAGUGAUGAAGGUCUUCGGAUCGUAAAACUCUGUUAUUAGGGAAGAACAAAUGUGUAAGUAACUAUGCACGUCUUGACGGUACCUAAUCAGAAAGCCACGGCUAACUACGUG